rnacentral:lncRNA from 1 species
CCAAACAAAUCUAGUAGUAAUGAAAUUCUAUAAGAUCUCAAAGAAUUCUCCAUCAACAAAUUGGAUUCCGAUUGGAUUCUAGGUUUAUGAAUGUCUAGGCAUUUUUCAAGAGAUUACUCGACUUUUUGAGAAGUUGACUACAUCCAUGGAUUUAUAGUGAUGUCCGGGGGUAGUCACUUCCAUGUAAUUGUAGGCAAUGGUAUAGUUGAUUUAUCCCUACUUAAUGGUGAAAUAAAGACAUUAAAAGAUAUUGACUAUAUUUCUAGUCUAUAUCAAAAUAUCUUAUUAGUAGAUUAAAUAACUGACCUUAAAAAUCUAUAUAUAUUUUUUUCAAUAAAAUAAAAUCUUAUAUCAAUCUAGAGAUCACAUUUUAUUGUAACAAAGAAUCAUGAGAUA